GGACGAACGCUGGCGGCGUGCUUAACACAUGCAAGUCGAACGGAAAGGCCCUGCUUGCAGGGUACUCGAGUGGCGAACGGGUGAGUAACACGUGGGUGAUCUGCCCUGCACUUCGGGAUAAGCCUGGGAAACUGGGUCUAAUACCGGAUAGGAGCCAUUUUUAGUGUGAUGGUUGGAAAGUUUUUUCGGUGUAGGAUGAGCUCGCGGCCUAUCAGCUUGUUGGUGGGGUAAUGGCCUACCAAGGCGGCGACGGGUAGCCGGCCUGAGAGGGUGGACGGCCACAUUGGGACUGAGAUACGGCCCAGACUCCUACGGGAGGCAGCAGUGGGGAAUAUUGCACAAUGGGCGCAAGCCUGAUGCGGCGACGCCGCGUGGGGGAUGACGGCCUUCGGGUUGUAAACUCCUUUCGCUAGGGACGAAGCUUUUUGUGACGGUACCUAGAUAAGAAGCACCGGCUAACUACGUG
rnacentral:rRNA from 1 species